rnacentral:rRNA from 1 species
GACGAACGCUGGCGGCGUGCUUAACACAUGCAAGUCGAACGGUGAAGGGACCAGCUUGCUGGUUCUGGAUGAGUGGCGAACGGGUGAGUAACACGUGAGUAACCUGCCCCCUUCUUCUGGAUAACCGCAUGAAAGUGUGGCUAAUACGGGAUAUUCUGGGUCUGUCGCAUGACGGGCCCGGGAAAGAUAUUGUUUCGGUGGGGGAUGGGCUCGCGGCCUAUCAGCUUGUGGGUGGGGUGAUGGCCUACCAAGGCGGUGACGGGUAGCCGGCCUGAGAGGGUGGACGGUCACACUGGGACUGAGACACGGCCCAGACUCCUACGGGAGGCAGCAGUGGGGAAUAUUGCACAAUGGGCGCAAGCCUGAUGCAGCGACGCCGCGUGAGGGAUGGAGGCCUUCGGGUUGUAAACCUCUUUCGCCAGUGAAGCAGGCCUGCUCCUUGUGGGUGGGUUGACGGUAGCUGGAUAAGAAGCGCCGGCUAACUACGUGCCAGCAGCCGCCGUAAAAC